GACGAACCGUGCGAACGUUGUUCGGAAUCAAUGGGCUUAAAGGGUGCGUAGGCGGGCAACCAAGUCCGGGGUGAAAGCUCCCGGCUCAACCGGGAAAGUGCCUUGGAUACUGGUUGUCUUGAGGGAGAUAGGAGCGAGUGGAACUUCCGGUGGAGCGGUGAAAUGCGUUGAUAUAGGAAGGAACGCCGGUGGCGAAAGCGACUCGCUGGACCUCUUCUGACUCUGAGGCGCGAAAGUCAGGGGAGCGUACUGG
rnacentral:rRNA from 1 species